UACAGAGGUCUCAAGCGUUGUUCGGAUUCAUUGGGCGUAAAGGGUGCGUAGGUGGCGCGCUAAGUCAGGUGUGAAAUUUCGGAGCUUAACUCCGAAACUGCAUUUGAUACUGGCGUGCUUGAGGACUGGAGAGGAGACUGGAAUUCACGGUGUAGCAGUGAAAUGCGUAGAUAUCGUGAGGAAGACCAGUGGCGAAGGCGGGUCUCUGGACAGUGCCUGACACUGAGGCACGAAGGCCAGGGGAGCAAACGGG
rnacentral:rRNA from 1 species